GUACACAUUUCAUUGGCUUGCUUUCUUUUGUUCAUGCGAGCAAUGUUAUUUCUCAUGUGUUAUACAAUAAAGGCUAAUUAGCCUUAUAACUCCAUAGUAAUACUGCCAGUCUCCUCAGACAGUU